rnacentral:lncRNA from 10 species
GCUUCCUCUGGAGCGGGGGAUGCAGCACCCGGAAGCAGUCAUGCCAGGCCUGCCUGAUUCCCAUCUUCUUGCCAGAGAUCUUUGAAAGUGCAGGUGGAACAGAGUUCUUGCCCCAUGGCUCCACUACCGUUGCAGUCAUAGUGAACGUGAGACCAGAUGGCAGGGAUCUGAUGAAAAUUAUUGAUUUAAAGGAUGCAGAUGAGAACCUGAAGAGCUGACUAAAAAGUAAUGACUGAAAAGCUGAGAUACUGAGCAUAGCUUCCAAAUGUCUCAUGGGGCUAUAGAGAAAAACCCUGUGUUCAUGGCCCACUGUGAAAUAAGAAUGCUAGGAAACCUCCAGGCUUUUAGUUAGGACUCCUGAAACAUGAUAGUAAGGAAUGUGAAUAUAAACAUAGGAGAAAACCAAAAAUAUGCCAGACCUCACAAAGAAUGAAGCCUGAAUUUGAA